ACUCCGACAGAUUGAAUGAUUCGGUGACGUGUUCGGGCUGGCGCAGUGCUCAGCUUCUGGAUCUUGUGUUGGAAAAUUUCAUGAAGCUUAUCAUUUGGAGGAAGGAGAAGUCGUAAUAAGGUUUCAACCGUAGGUGAACCUGCAGAAGGACA
rnacentral:misc_RNA from 1 species